rnacentral:rRNA from 1 species
GAUCCUGCUCAGGACGAACGCUGGCGGCGCGCCUAACACAUGCAAGUCGAACGAGAGAUGAGGAGCUUGCUCUUCAGAUCGAGUGGCGAACGGGUGAGUAACGCGUGAGGAACCUGCCUCAAAGAGGGGGACAACAGUUGGAAACGACUGCUAAUACCGCAUAAGCCCACGGCUCGGCAUCGAGCAGAGGGAAAAGGAGCAAUCCGCUUUGAGAUGGCCUCGCGUCCGA